rnacentral:rRNA from 1 species
ACGAACCGUACGAACGUUAUUCGGAAUCACUGGGCUUAAAGGGUGCGUAGGCGGCUCAGAAAGUAGGGUGUGAAAGCCCUCGGCUCAACCGAGGAAUUGCGCCCUAAACUACUGGGCUUGAGGAAGGCAGAGGUAAGCGGAACUUAGGGUGGAGCGGUGAAAUGCGUUGAUAUCCUAAGGAACACCAGGAGCGAAAGCGGCUUACUGGGCCUUUUCUGACGCUGAGGCACGAAAGCUAGGGGAGCGAACGG